AAUUAAAGUGUGUAAAACUUAGACGUUGAAAAAAAUUCACCCACCGUACAGUUGUCAUGGAGGAGCAACCUGUUGAAAGAGAUCAAAACCGUUUUUUGUAC